CGUCUAUAUACGUAUAGCAUAUCAAUAAGCGGAGGAAAAGAAACUAACAAGGAUUCCCUUAGUAACGGCGAGUGAAGCGGGAAGAGCUCAAAUUUGAAAUCUUCAAGGUUCUACCUUGACGAGUUGUAGUUUAUAGAAGUGUUUUCUGUUAGUAGAGUGGCAAAAGUUCUUUGGAAUAGGACAUCAUAGAGGGCGAGAAUCCCGUAUUUGAUCAUUCUUUCUAACGUUGUGAUACACUUUCAACGAGUCGGAUUGUUUGGGAAUGCAGUCCAAAAUGGGUGGUAAAUUUCAUCUAAAGCUAAAUAUUGGCGAGAGACCGAUAGCGAACAAGUACCGUGAGGGAAAGAUGAAAAGAACUUUGAAAAGAGAGUUAAACAGUACGUGAAAUUGUCAAAAGGGAAGCGUUUGACACCAGUGUUGUUUUUCCGAAAAUCAAUUACGAAUGUUUUAUUUUGAGAAGUUAUGACUUCAUCGGCUUGCUUCUCUCUUUAUGAAACUUUCUUAAUGCACUUUUCGGUUAACAAGUCAACAUCAAUUUCUUUUGUUGUAAAAGGGUAUGAGGAAGGUGGCUUUCUUUUCGGAGAAAGUGUUUAUAGCCUUGUACCUCUGCAAUCGGAGAGAUUGAGGUCUGCAGCGUAGAUCCUUCGGGGUUAGAUACAUUUGUGCUAAGUUAUAGCUUUUCAUAGACAACUUGUUGACUAUAUUUAGUCUUGUGGCUUACUCGCUUAUGCUAUUUUACCUACGCUUAGGAUGUUGAUAUGCAUGACUGAUAU
rnacentral:rRNA from 1 species